ACCUGUGAUAUUUUCAAUAUGUUUAUAAUCCUCUGGCACUGCUUCUUUUCACCAACCAGCUAAAACAAGACUUGUCCUCUCAGUAUUUAGCUAUGAAACCAAAGCUAAACCAGGGAAAAACUGAGAUGCAAUGCAAGAAAGUAAUUAAAAGACUGGAAAAAAAUUACCUCCACUUUUUUUCUCCCCCACAUAACCUAUUUUGUCACAGUUUGAAAAUCCUACUGUGCUGCCUCUUAGUGUCAAAAAGCAUUCCUCAGCAGUGCUGUCAAUUCAUCUAGAGCUAAUUGAAGGAAAUAUUUCUGAGCAGUGUUUGUUGCCACAGCCUAUUCCUCUCUCACCUGAAGAUUAAAUAACUGCACUAUUUGCACUAUUUUUGCUCUGCACAGCCUAGAAAGCACAACUGAAGCAGAAUGAAAUGCUGGUAAGCUGCAUAGCUCAGUGGCAGCUUGACACCAACAUCCCACAGCUCGCAGUAGCUGCUGAUUUUUAACCUCCAGCACCUCAAAAGGUGUCAGAUUUGCCUUUCUGGUCGAUUAGCUUCCACUUUCUCUGCAGCAACACUGACAAAAACAUGGCUGAGGUGCUGUACCUGAAAAAGCAGCUGUCUCUGCCUAUUCUCCCCAGGAACUGAAGUGGUUUUGCUGAGGUCCAUCGACAGCUGGACCCUUCCCAUUUCAGACUUUAGGUCAAACUUCUAAACAGACUUCAAGUAUUUUCAAGAUACUGUAGUAAAACGCAUUAUUCUGCAGGGGCUUUUCUUUUCCCCCAUGAACAGAUCCACCUACCCUCAAGAAUUCCUUUUCCCUCGGUGCACAAGAAAGCAAAGCCUGCACUGACACUUGUGCUUCCAAGUUGGGCAGUGCUCCACUCUCAGCUCCUAAGGGGAGCUGCUCCGAGGCACUUCCUGCUGCUGGGCACUCCGAGGGAUCCGCCUCCCAGCAGGGCUGGCUUGCAAACAGGCACAACCAGAUUCCCCAGGCACAAAGUAAUCAAUUUGCCUCUCUCCUGCAGUUGCAGAAGGCAGUUUCUCUCUCACUGUGCCACUCCUGAGGAUGAUCACACUUGGAGGACGACAGAAGAAUUAGAAGCAGGAGGAAUGAAGGAAAUGCUUCAUGGAAUGUUAUUCAAGACACGUUGCCUAGGGAAUAUUCUGGAAAAAUGUUUUUUGGGAUUAUACUGAAGCUUAACCUCAGGAGUUCCUGUGUAAAGGGUAAAAGCCACCACAACAAGACUCAGAGUGCAAUGAAACAAACCAAACAAAAAAGAUACUGGAAUUAACUUCCUGUGUUGCAAGAAGGGAGGAAAAAAAAAAAAAACAAACCAGGAAAGAAUCCUGACCACAAAAACCAUGAGAGAUCGUCUGCAAGAACUCAAACUGAGAGCUAAGGAACUAGAGAUGGGUGGGGACAACAAUGGGGCAACUGUACAAGAAGAGGAGCAGGAGGAGUUUGAACAGCAGGCCAUUAUUUAUGAAAAAGAGCCCAUAACUGAAAGGCACUUGCACGAGAUCCAGAAGCUUCAGAACGAAAUUAAUAAUCUGGUGGAAGAAGUCAAUAAAUUCAGCCAACAACAAAAAAGCCUCGUGUCUUCAAUGAGAAGAUUCAGCGUUCUCAAGAAGGAAUCUAACAUAGCGAGGGAAAUCAAAAUGCAAGCAGAACACGUACGCAAAGGUUUGGAUGAGCUGUCGAAAGCCGUGAGGAGAGCUGAGAAUGAGCAGGGGCCAGCCCGAGCCACGGUGAGGAUCCUGGCUGCCCAGCACGCCUUCCUGUCCCACUGCUACCUGCAGGCCAUGCUCGCCUACAACGAGGCCAUCACUGCCAAGCAGGACAAGUGCAGGACCUUCAUCCUCCGCCAGCUGGAGGUGGCUGGGAAAGAGGUGUCUGAGGAGGAGGUCAAUGACAUGCUCCAGCAGGGAAAAUGGGAGGUUUUCAAUGAAAAUCUACUCACUGAAGUCAAGAUUACUAAAGCUCAGCUGUCAGAGAUUGAGCAGAGACAUAAAGAACUGGUCAAUCUGGAGAACCAGAUCAGAGAUGUGAAAGAACUCUUUAUCCAGAUCUCACUUCUGGUGGAGGAGCAAGGGCAGAUGAUCAACAACAUAGAAAUCUACAUGAACAAUGCUCAAGAAUAUACUCAAGUAUCUAAAGAAAAGUUUGGGCUUGCAGUCAGGUAUAAAAGAAGAAACCCUUGCAAAGCAAUUUGCUGCUGGUGUUGUCCGUGCUGCAGAUGACAACAGAAAUGAACUGCUUGAAAUACCAAUGGUUCCUCCACACCAAACUGAUCUUGGAAAGCACUCUUGGGAUCCCUCAACUUCACUUUUCUUUCCAUUUUCCCUUCAGCAGAGCUCUCAGGAAAAACUGCAUCUGUUUUUCAAAACAGAUUAAAGAAUUUUAUGGUUUUCACAGAAACGUGUGAACUACAGGAAAGGAUCAAAGGAUAAAAGUGACCUUUUUUUUGGUUCUUAUAAACUUCUUCAAAGUUUAGAAGUUCUAAAGUUUAGUUUGGUUCUUCAAACUAAAACAGUGUGGCAACAAACUCCCUGUACUGUUGGGAGGCAUUGAAAAUACUGUUAAUCUGAAAGACGGGAUUCAUAAAAAUGUUUUGCUUACUUUUCACAAAAUAAUAGAAUCUAAAUUUUACAAAACAAAUCUCCACACAUAAAGCAGACACCAGUAGUAACAAUCCAGAAUGGGAUAAACCAAACAAGAGGUCAGAAAACUUAUCAGGAAUAUUUCAAUACUACAUCUAUAGGAAAAGUUCAUAAACUUUUCAUAAAUUGACAUAGAGAUACUUUUAUUAUUCAGCUCCACAGGCAGAGCCCUACCAGGAUAGGGGAAUAUGAUCCUUAAUUACACACUCACAAGGUACAUUCUUAAUGCUGCCUAUCCUACCUGAAUACAGUCAUGUUAGCAGUCUCACUUUUUCUAGCACAAAAAUUAGUGAAAAAAUAGAAUAAAAAAUAUAACUCCAUCCUUACAUCCCCUACUCCUCCCCCAUAAUCUAGAACCAGAGAAUGAUUUAGGUUGGAAGGAACCUCCUGCAACCAACUCCUUUUGGAACUGAGUGAGAAGUGGCUCUCCAUGCAAUUUAACAGACAACUGUAAUGUAACUGAGACAAGAAAGUUAUUUCCAAGAAGAAAUUUAAAAAAAAUUCCACAUUAAAACCAAACAGCAAACCAGAAAUGUAUUCCUGAACUGCUUUGUGCUAUGCAAGGAUACAAUCAAUACCACUUGAUUUGGAUGGUCAGAGAAGGCAGAACAAACUGCACUGCAAUUCAGCAAGACACUAAGUGAACUGGAUGUCUUUAGUUGAACGUAGUGGGGAAAAAAAAUAUCUACUAUCAAAGUCAUUUUCACAUUGUGGUAUUUAGAAAUAGUUGGAUUCCUUCCAUCCCAGAUUAAAACUGCAACUGAAAUUGAAUGCUAUCAAAAUACAAUCAAGGGUCUGAACCUUAAAGUAAAAUAUAUUAUUUACACAGUAGCAACAAAAAGUAAACUUAGAUGAUGACACCACUGAAGCUAUUUCAUUAAAUACUCUCCCCUUAACCGUAUAUCUAUUAAAAAUUCAUUUAUGUACCAAGUACACAGUAGAAAUUAGCCAAUAAACAACAGCUGUACUUCCAAUAGUGGAAUAAAACUCAAGUCUUCAAAAUUCAAGCUUUAAUAUUAGGAAAAGAGCUGCCUGAUUAAGUCAUUUCCAGAUGUAAAUUGGUUAGAAGCAGGCAAAACAGAUAAAACACACUGAAGGAGAACAGGGAAGUGAGAAAGACUUAUGGAAAACUUUCCCUUGAUCCGGGGGUGCUAUUAACUGAAAAUAAAUAGUAUGAAAUAAUAGUAUGAACUACAGUUUACACUGAAUUUGAUAUUGAGCAUUCAGAAUUAUUAUCAGCUGAAAUUUGCAAUAAUCACUAAAGUGACUUUCCAAUGUUUUCAGUAGUUACAUAAAUACGCAGCAAACCAAACAAAUUAAAGCCCAGCUGCAAGUGUUCUAUGAAGAAAAGUGAAGCAUUAAUAGCUAUAAUCCCUUAUCACCAAAAUAACAGGUAGAAAGUAGCUUUUCCCUAACAAAAUACCUGCCCAAAAAUCUCCUUGGUAUAAAAUAUCAGUCACAGCACAUGGACUUGCAUUUCCUCUUGCACAUGCUCCAUGUCAACUUAAAUAAAAAAACCCACAACCAAAACAAAGACUCCAAACAAACACAACUAAUCCCAAACAAAACCAGCAUUUGCCUGCAUAAUAUGAUGUCUGUGUGCUCCUUUCUGAUAAAAGAAAGGACAAAAAUAAUCCUAAGUGAAGAAAAUUUAAACUUGUAUAUGAGUCUUGAGUAUGCUGCCAGAAGAAUUUACCCAUAAACAUAAAUAAAGUGAUAACACUGAACAGUGAAAAAACCCAAAUGACAAGUUUAGCAUCUCUAAGUAAUUUAUACCAAGAGACAGUAAAAGUACAAUCACAUUUGAGGAAAAUUGUCUUAAAAUUAUUCUGUGACACCUCCAUGGGCAGCAAUAAAUACCAGCAUGGGACAGCAGCAAUUAAAUUUGUAGAAAAUAUCACACUGAACAUCAGAUUUCCCAUAUUCCUAUAUUUCUGUAUUUACCAUCAAUUUUAUGUCCACAUUGUGCAAUUCAGCCUAUUCUGCACAGAUUAAAAUGCACUAAUUAAAACAUGUAGCAAGGUAUUAGGGAACUUACUGCUACAUGGGUAGCAAGUAUCUCUUUAUUUAAAAAACCAACAAAACCAAAAAACCCACAAACAAAAUCUGAACAUUAAAAUUAAUAUAACAUUUAGGCUAACUUCCAGCAUAAAUAUGGAAAUCUGACAAUACAGGAGAGAAUUCUUAACUCAAGAGGAAGGCUCACACAGGAGCAUAAUCCAAAGAACAAAUGGAUCCCUCCACAGAAUUGGGACACUGUAAAAGCAAAUUCUGAUCAAAGGCUUGAAGUUUAAUCUAAUAAAAAGUAUCAACAUCAACAAACUUGGUUUAGUUACCAUUAGAGCCAUUAAUAAAUACACUCUGCCUUCCAAUUAGCUACUGAUAGAAAUCAACAAGCAAUAUCAAGAUCCAGGGAAGUGAGUGAGUUCUCUGCAGGUCCAGUCAGCCACACAAACAAACUCCAUUACAGGAUUAGAGCAUAGAGAUUUCGACCCAAAACAAAAAACAACAAAACCAAAAUGCAACCCAAAAGCACCCAUAAAGUUGUAUUUAAUUAAAAAACACAGCACAGCUUUCCACAGUCCCAGCUGCAUUUUCAUUUGAGUUAAACUAAGCUGGCUUUAUUGCCUUGCCUGUGCCAGUAACAUGCAGAGCAAUGAAAAUCUAAUCUAUUUUCAACAUACACACCAUUACUUUGCUGAACUACCCUCCAGUUCAUCAAGAGAAUUAGCCAGGCUCAGCUUCAAACCAGCAGAGCAUCACUAUUUCUUAAAAAUAAGAGGUCUCUCCUCUUACCUGUACAGAUUCUUUAUGAUAGCACAGGGAUGUUGUGCAAUUUAUGCAUUAUGGAGGUCUUAUGCUCACCAGACAUAAAAAUAUUGACUUGAUAAACCAUUUUAAACUUUCAGAGUUUAUUUUUUAAUUUCAAAAGCAGAUUUGUUAUCAAAUAUUUUUGGUGUGGAAUUAAAAAAAUAUGUUCUUUCCAAUAUUUUUACAAACCCUAUUAAACAGGGAAAAAGCAGGUGCCCAAUACAAUUAAAGCAAGCCUCCUUUAAUGAGAUUUUUUUGAUCAUAUAUCAGCAGCACCAUGCGUUAAAUGAACAAGACAUUUAUUGCUGAGAGAUCACCCUAUUGCUGAGUAUAAUCAACCGUUUGCCAUUUAAUUAAUUGAUGUAGGCAUAAAUAGCAACAAUAUUUUUGCAUCAUGUUGCCACACCAAAUUUGAAAGCCUUUUAACCUACCAUUUCAAGUAACAUUAAAAUUUUAGAGCAUUAAAAAAUCCCACCUUGUUAUUUUUCCGUGGCUAAUGAAAGAAGAGAGAAAUAAACAUCCCUGAGAAGGAUAAAAUGAAACAUAAAACCAUAAAACUAAUUGCAGUAUUGGUUAGAGCUAAAAUUACAGCAGUAUUAGUUACAGAAAUAGUUCUUUAGGUCUAAAUUCAGCCAAUUUCAGACUAUUAGGAGAACAUUUAUUAUGCUACUUACACUAACACAGGUUUUCCUGAUAUCUUAGGGCUUUUUAGCACUUCUAUCAUGGCUUGUUUUGUUUCUUCCAUUCUUUCAAUGUCACUGGAAUCCACCACAAAUAUGACACCGUAGGACUCAGCAUAGUAAUUCCUCCAGAUAUUCCGGAUUCGUUUUCCACCUCCUAAAUCAAAGAUGGUGACUUCAAAGCGUCCCUGUUUAAGAUUAAUUUUGGAAAACCCAACUGUGGGA